AUUGAACGCUGGCGGCAGGCCUAACACAUGCAAGUCGAGCGGAUGAAGGGAGCUCUCUCCUGGAUUCAGCGGCGGACGGGCGAGUAAUGCAUAGGAAUCUGCCUGGUAGUGGGGGAUAACGUCCCGAAACGGGCGCUAAUACCGCAUACGUCCUGAGGGUGAAAGUGGGGGAUCUUCGGACCUCACGCUAUUAGAUGACCCUAGGUCGGAUUAGCUAGUUGGUGUGGUAAAGGCCUACCAAGGCGACGAUCCGUAACUGGUCUGAGAGGAUGAUCAGUCACACUGGAACUGAGACACGGUCCAGACUCCUACGGGAGGCAGCAGUGGGGAAUAUUGGACAAUGGGCGAAAGCCUGAUCCAGCCAUGCCGCGUGUGUGAAGAAGGUCUUCGGAUUGUAAAGCACUUUUAGUUGGGAGGAAGAGCAGUAAGUUAAUACCUUGCUGUUUUGACGUUACCAGCAGAAUAAGCACCGGCUAACUUCGUG
rnacentral:rRNA from 1 species